rnacentral:lncRNA from 1 species
GCUUUUCCAUCAACUCACUGUAGGGAUGGUUGCGAACAAAGUGUGAAUGGCCUGAAUUGCGAGAUAACAUAUUUGUGCCUGUAGCUGGUUGAGGAUUUUGGAGGCCAAUAUUCGAUGGUGGAUAUCCACCCUGCGGAAAGUGAGGUUGUUGAGGUGGAUGAUGUGUCCUUCCCCCUUCACUAUCAUACAUCAUGUAUGCACUCCCUGCAGGAAGGGUGGAAUGAGGACCAGCAGUUGCAUACCCAUCACCAGGUUGUGCGCCAUAUGUGCCCUUGACUUGCUGAGGUGAAGGUUGUUGAGGAACAGUUCUACCAGCUCCAUAUCCAUAAGGCAUGGCAUCAGCACGACUAGAUAAGGGUUGAGGAACUGCUGCAUAUGACACUUGCAUAGGCAUGCUGUUUGGCAGUGUUUCUGGUGGAGAUGAAUUCGUCGGUUGGACU